rnacentral:rRNA from 1 species
AACCUCCGCAAUGUGAGAAAUCGCGACGGGGGGAUCCCAAGUGCCAUUCUUAACGGGAUGGCUUUUCAUUAGUGUAAAGAGCUUUUGGAAUAAGGGCUGGGCAAGACCGGUGCCAGCCGCCGCGGUAACACCGGCAGCUCUAGUGGUAGCAGUUUUUAUUGGGCCUAAAGCGUCCGUAGCCGGUUUAAUAAGUCUCUGGUGAAAUCCUGUAGCUUAACUGUGGGAAUUGCUGGAGAUACUAUUAGACUUGAGACCGGGAGAGGUUAGAGGUACUCCCAGGGUAGAGGUGAAAUUCUGUAAUCCUGGGAGGACCGCCUGUUGCGAAGGCGUCUAACUGGAACGGUUCUGACGGUGAGGGACGAAAGUUAGGGGCGCGAACCGGAUUAGAUACCCGGGUAGUCCUAACCGUAAACGAUGCGGACUUGGUGUUGGGUGGCUUUGAGCUGCUCCAGUGCCGAAGGGAAGCUGUUAAGUCCGCCGCCUGGGAAGUACGGUCGCAAGACUGAAACUUAAAGGAAAG